rnacentral:tRNA from 1 species
GGGCCGGUGGUUUAGUGGUAUAAUGCCGCGUUCGCAACGCGGAUGUCGAGGGUUCAAUUCCCUCCCGGUCCACUA